CUAAUUUCCAUAUUCGCCAAUUCUCUAUGAGCCGCCGGUUCUGUUUGAGCUGUCGCACUAGAAUCGACACCAGCGGAAACCAAAAGAUGCCUCGAGUCACCAUUACACCGACGUCGAAACUGUCAUAUAGCAAUAUAAAAUAAUAAGUGUUUAACGUAUACUUUGGCUAACGAGUUGAGCUAUAAGGGCGUCCCGACGAGCAAUUUGAUUUUGCCAGUCGGCGGCCGAAGUGGACUCGGUUGCGCUGCCAAGAGAAGCUACUGAGGCACUCCUGAGCGCCAACUGUGAUGUUAACAGCUCAACUUGAUUGCGCAGUGCUGUGUUCAAUUCCUGUGCACGACGCCAUUCGGCUUCAAGACGAAUUCGAGCGGAUUGUUCGAGGGACUCUUUCCGCUCAGACGGAUCUUACCAGCGACUGAUGAGCAGACUGUACUGCACUCAAUUCCUUUUCGAAUUUUUGCAGUUUGGCAAUAUGGUCCUGAUGAUUCUGUACUUGCUGACGCAAUUUGAAGUUCUCCUCCAGUAUGGCAUCGACUAGCUCGGGUGUACUCCAAACAGCUUCAGCAUCAUCUCGCCUCACCAACAUGUCUCCACCAGCUAUUGCUGAUGCUGCUUUUCUGUUUGCAUCCUCCGGAGUGGAUGCAACUUCAACUGAUGGAUCGAUCGGGGUCUUUUCCGUUUUGGUGUUGGCCUCUUCGGUAGUAGCUGACUCGUUUCUAUUAUGGCAAGGUCAAAAUUGACAUAUUUGUUGUGAUAAGAUUAGAAUUACGACAUCGGAAUUUACGAUGUCCAUGUUUUUGUUUAUCUCUAAACAGCCGUAUAUCUUAAAAACAUGUGUAUUAUGAAUUGAUUGCAUUUUAUAGUAGUUAUAAUGAUUUCCCAAUACAUACUUGUGACGUAA